UACGGGGGGGGCAAGCGUUGUUCGGAAUUACUGGGCGUAAAGGGCGCGUAGGCGGUUCGCUAAGUUGGAUGUGAAAACUCUGGGCUCAACCCAGAGCCUGCAUCCAAAACUGGCGGGCUAGAGUUCUGGAGGGGGUAGCGGAAUUCCUGGUGUAGCGGUGAAAUGCGUAGAUAUCAGGAGGAACACCGGUGGCGAAGGCGGCUACCUGGCCUAAGACUGACGCUGAGGUGCGAAAGCGUGGGGAGCGAACGGG
rnacentral:rRNA from 1 species